rnacentral:rRNA from 1 species
GAUGAACGCUGGCGGCGUGCCUAAUACAUGCAAGUCGAGCGAACAGACGAGGAGCUUGCUCCUCUGACGUUAGCGGCGGACGGGUGAGUAACACGUGGAUAACCUACCUAUAAGACUGGGAUAACUUCGGGAAACCGGAGCUAAUACCGGAUAAUAUAUUGAACCGCAUGGUUCAAUAGUGAAAAACGGUUUUGCUGUCACUUAUAGAUGGAUCCGCGCCGCAUUAGCUAGUUGGUAAGGUAACGGCUUACCAAGGCAACGAUGCGUAGCCGACCUGAGAGGGUGAUCGGCCACACUGGAACUGAGACACGGUCCAGACUCCUACGGGAGGCAGCAGUAGGGAAUCUUCCGCAAUGGGCGAAAGCCUGACGGAGCAACGCCGCGUGAGUGAUGAGGGUCUUCGGAUCGUAAAACUCUGUUAUUAGGGAAGAACAAAUGUGUAAGUAACUAUGCACGUCUUGACGGUACCUAAUCAGAAAGCCACGGCUAACUACGUG